rnacentral:rRNA from 1 species
AAAGCGUCUGUAGGCGGAUGAGUAAGUUGGGCGUGAAAGCUCCGGGCUCAACCCGGAGAGGCCGUUCAAUACUGCUGAUCUAGAGGAGGCCAGAGGGGAGUGGAAUUCCUGGAGUAGCGGUAAAAUGCGCAGAUAUCAGGAAGAACACCAGUGGCGAAGGCGGCUCCCUAGGGCCCACCUGACGCUGAGAGACGACAGCUAGGGGAGCGAACAGGAUUAGAGACCCUGGUAGUCCUAGCCGUAAACGAUGGAUGCUAGGUGUAGGGCCGUAGAGGUUCUGUGCCGGAGCGAACGCGAUAAGCAUCCCGCCUGGGGAGUACGGCCGCAAGGCUAAAACUCAAACGAAUUGACGGGGACCCGCACAAGCAGCGGAGCGUGUGGUUUAAUUCGAUGCUACACGAAGAACCUUACCUGGGUUUGACAUGGACGUGGUAGUGAAGCGAAAGCGGAGCGACCCUUCAGGGAGCGUUCACAGGUGCUGCAUGGCUGUCGUCAGCUCGUGCCGUGAGGUGUCGGGUUAAGUCCCGUAACGAGCGCAACCCUUGCCCUUAGUUACAAGUGUCUAAGGGGACUGCCGGCGGGAAGCCGGAGGAAGGUGGGGAUGACGUCAAGUCAGCAUGGCCCUUAUAUCCAGGGCUACACACACGCUACAAUGGUCGGUACAGAGGGCAGCGAAGCCGCGAGGUGGAGCGAAUCCCAGAAAGCCGGUCGUAGUUCGGAUUGCAGGCUGCAACCCGCCUGCAUGAAGCUGGAGUUGCUAGUAACCG